rnacentral:lncRNA from 1 species
CUGAUUUGUUCUUAUCCAAACCUCAAGAGAUAAGGUUUUGGAUAUCUUUCCUUAUCUACAUCCUCUGCACUCUUCUUCUCUGCCCCGUCUGUACCUUCUGCCCAGCUGAUUCCGCUGCUCGGAUGAUUCCUCUGGCAAAGCCGACUUCGCUGCUCUGGCACUUUGAUUCCGCUGGCAGCUUGAUUUCUCUGGCAAAGCCGACUUCGCUGCUCUGGCAUUUCUGUACCUUCUGCCCAGCUGAUUCCGCUGCUCGGAUGAUUUCUCUGGCAAAGCCGACUUCGCUGCUCUGGCACUUUGAUUCCGCUGGCAGCUUGAUUUCUCUGGCAGCUUCGCUGCUCUGCAUUUCGUACCUUCUGCCCACGAUCAUCUUCUGAUGCAACUGGGUCCCGCGCGGUACUUAUGGGCAAAAGGUCGGUUUGCCCAAGAUCCUGCUUCUCGGACUUUUGAUCUUCAAAACAAGCUUUUGAGUGUCCCAAACUCCUCUACUUCAAACUCAUGCCUCAUUCGCGGAAUGCAGCAGCAUUAUGCCUUGAAAGCACCUUCUGCCCAAAGAAC